rnacentral:rRNA from 1 species
CACGUAGGGUGCGAGCGUUGUCCGGAAUUAUUGGGCGUAAAGAGCUCGUAGGCGGUGUGUCGCGUCGGCCGUGAAAACCUGCAGCUUAACUGUGGGCUUGCAGCUGAUACGGGCGGGCUAGAGUUCGGUAGGGGAGACUGGAAUUCCUGGUGUAGCGGUGAAAUGCGCAGAUAUCAGGAGGAACACCGGUGGCGAAGGCGGGUCUCUGGGCCGAUACUGACGCUGAGGAGCGAAAGCGUGGGGAGCGAACAGG